UCGAAAGGGAAACAGCCCAGACCACCAGCUAAGGUCCCAAAAUAUAUGUUAAGUGGAAAAGGAUGUGGCGUUGCCCAGACAACUAGGAUGUUGGCUUAGAAGCAGCCAUCAUUUAAAGAGUGCGUAAUAGCUCACUAGUCGAGUGACACUGCGCCGAAAAUGUACCGGGGCUAAACAUAUUACCGAAGCUGUGGAUUGUCCUUUGGACAAUGGUAGGAGAGCGUUCUAAGGGCGUUGAAGCAUGAUCGUAAGGACAUGUGGAGCGCUUAGAAGUGAGAAUGCCGGUGUGAGUAGCGAAAGACGGGUGAGAAUCCCGUCCACCGAUUGACUAAGGUUUCCAGAGGAAGGCUCGUCCGCUCUGGGUUAGUCGGGUCCUAAGCUGAGGCCGACAGGCGUAGGCGAUGGAUAACAGGUUGAUAUUCCUGUACCACCUAUAAUCGUUUUAAUCGAUGGGGGGACGCAGUAGGAUAGGCGAAGCGUGCGAUUGGAUUGCACGUCUAAGCAGUAAGGCUGAGUAUUAGGCAAAUCCGGUACUCGUUAAGGCUGAGCUGUGAUGGGGAGAAGACAUUGUGUCUUCGAGUCGUUGAUUUCACACUGCCGAGAAAAGCCUCUAGAUAGAAAAUAGGUGCCCGUACCGCAAACCGACACAGGUAGUCAAGAUGAGAAUUCUAAGGUGAGCGAGCGAACUCUCGUUAAGGAACUCGGCAAAAUGACCCCGUAACUUCGGGAGAAGGGGUGCUCUUUAGGGUUAACGCCCAGAAGAGCCGCAGUGAAUAGGCCCAAGCGACUGUUUAUCAAAAACACAGGUCUCUGCUAAACCGUAAGGUGAUGUAUAGGGGCUGACGCCUGCCCGGUGCUGGAAGGUUAAGAGGAGUGGUUAGCUUCUGCGAAGCUACGAAUCGAAGCCCCAGUAAACGGCGGCCGUAACUAUAACGGUCCUAAGGUAGCGAAAUUCCUUGUCGGGUAAGUUCCGACCCGCACGAAAGGCGUAACGAUUUGGGCACUGUCUCAACGAGAGACUCGGUGAAAUCAUAGUACCUGUGAAGAUGCAGGUUACCCGCGACAGGACGGAAAGACCCCGUGGAGCUUUACUGUAGCCUGAUAUUGAAAUUCGGCACAGCUUGUACAGGAUAGGUAGGAGCCUUUGAAACGUGAGCGCUAGCUUACGUGGAGGCGCUGGUGGGAUACUACCCUAGCUGUGUUGGCUUUCUAACCCGCACCACUUAUCGUGGUGGGAGACAGUGUCAGGCGGGCAGUUUGACUGGGGCGGUCGCCUCCUAAAAGGUAACGGAGGCGCUCAAAGGUUCCCUCAGAAUGGUUGGAAAUCAUUCAUAGAGUGUAAAGGCAUAAGGGAGCUUGACUGCGAGACCUACAAGUCGAGCAGGGUCGAAAGACGGACUUAGUGAUCCGGUGGUUCCGCAUGGAAGGGCCAUCGCUCAACGGAUAAAAGCUACCCCGGGGAUAACAGGCUUAUCUCCCCCAAGAGUUCACAUCGACGGGGAGGUUUGGCACCUCGAUGUCGGCUCAUCGCAUCCUGGGGCUGUAGUCGGUCCCAAGGGUUGGGCUGUUCGCCCAUUAAAGCGGUACGCGAGCUGGGUUCAGAACGUCGUGAGACAGUUCGGUCCCUAUCCGUCGUGGGCGUAGGAAAUUUGAGAGGAGCUGUCCUUAGUACGAGAGGACCGGGAUGGACAUACCUCUGGUGUACCAGUUGUCGUGCCAACGGCAUAGCUGGGUAGCUAUGUGUGGACGGGAUAAGUGCUGAAAGCAUCUAAGCAUGAAGCCCCCCUCAAGAUGAGAUUUCCCAACUUCGGUUAUAAGAUCCCUCAAAGAUGAUGAGGUUAAUAGGUUCGAGGUGGAAGCAUGGUGACAUGUGGAGCUGACGAAUACUAAUCGAUCGAAGACUUAAUCAA
rnacentral:rRNA from 1 species